UCUUGCUUAGAUGAGUGUUCCU
rnacentral:miRNA from 1 species